UACGUAGGUGGCAAGCGUUUGUCCGGAUUUAUUGGGUUUAAAGGGUGCGUAGGCGGCUUAUUAAGUCAGUGGUGAAAUACUCUAGCUCAACUAGAGGGGUGCCAUUGAUACUGAUGAGCUUGAGUACAGAUGAGGUAGGCGGAAUUGACGGUGUAGCGGUAGAAAUGCUUAGAUAUCGUCAAGAACACCUAUAGCGAAGGCAGCUUACUAGGCUGUAACUGACGCUGAGGCACGAAAGUGUGGGGAUCAAACAGG
rnacentral:rRNA from 1 species